CCGAAACGAAGUGAUCUAUCCAUGAGCAAGUUGAAGCUAGUGUAAGAACUAGUGGAGGACUGAACCCAUAGGCGUUGAAAAGCCCCGGGAUGACUUGUGGAUAGGGGUGAAAGGCCAAUCAAACUUCGUGAUAGCUGGUUCUCUCCGAAAUAUAUUUAGGUAUAGCGUUGUGUCGUAAUAUAAGGGGGUAGAGCACUGAAUGGGCUAGGGCAUACACCAAUGUACCAAACCCUAUCAAACUCCGAAUACCUUAUAUGUAAUCACAGCAGUCAGGCGGCGAGUGAUAAAAUCCGUCGUCAAGAGGGAAACAACCCAGACUACCAGCUAAGGUCCCUAAGUCUUACUUAAGUGGAAAACGAUGUGAAGUUACUUAAACAACCAGGAGGUUGGCUUAGAAGCAGCCAUCCUUUAAAGAAAGCGUAAUAGCUCACUGGUCUAGUGAUUUUGCGCGGAAAAUAUAACGGGGCUAAAGUAAGUACCGAAGCUGUAGACUUAGUUUACUAAGUGGUAGGAGAGCGUUCUAUUUGCGUCGAAGGUAUACCGGUAAGGAGUGCUGGAGCGAAUAGAAGUGAGCAUGCAGGCAUGAGUAGCGAUAAUUAAUGUGAGAAUCAUUAACGCCGUAAACCCAAGGUUUCCUACGCGAUGCUCGUCAUCGUAGGGUUAGUCGGGUCCUAAGUCGAGUCCGAAAGGGGUAGACGAUGGCAAAUUGGUUAAUAUUCCAAUACCAACAUUAGUGUGCGAUGGAAGGACGCUUAGGGCUAAGGGGGCUAGCGGAUGGAAGUGCUAGUCUAAGGUCGUAGGAGGUUAUACAGGCAAAUCCGUAUAACAAUACUCCGAGAACUGAAAGGCUUUUUGAAGUCUUCGGAUGGAUAGAAGAACCCCUGAUGCCGUCGAGCCAAGAAAAGUUUCUAAGUUUAGCUAAUGUUGCCCGUACCGUAAACCGACACAGGUGGGUGGGAUGAGUAUUCUAAGGCGCGUGGAAGAACUCUCUUUAAGGAACUCUGCAAAAUAGCACCGUAUCUUCGGUAUAAGGUGUGGUUAGCUUUGUAUUAGGAUUUACUCCGAAAGCAAGGAAACUUACAACAAAGAGUCCCUCCCGACUGUUUACCAAAAACACAGCACUCUGCUAACUCGUAAGAGGAUGUAUAGGGUGUGACGCCUGCCCGGUGCUCGAAGGUUAAUUGAUGGGGUUAGCAUUAGCGAAGCUCUUGAUCGAAGCCCGAGUAAACGGCGGCCGUAACUAUAACGGUCCUAAGGUAGCGAAAUUCCUUGUCGGUUAAAUACCGACCUGCAUGAAUGGCGUAACGAGAUGGGAGCUGUCUCAAAGAGGGAUCCAGUGAAAUUGUAGUGGAGGUGAAAAUUCCUCCUACCCGCGGCAAGACGGAAAGACCCCGUGGACCUUUACUACAGCUUGACACUGCUACUUGGAUAAGAAUGUGCAGGAUAGGUGGGAGGCUUUGAGUAUAUGACGCCAGUUGUAUAUGAGCCAUUGUUGAGAUACCACUCUUUCUUAUUUGGGUAGCUAACCAGCUUGAGUUAUCCUCAAGUGGGACAAUGUCUGGUGGGUAGUUUGACUGGGGCGGUCGCCUCCCAAAUAAUAACGGAGGCUUACAAAGGUUGGCUCAGAACGGUUGGAAAUCGUUCGUAGAGUAUAAAGGUAUAAGCCAGCUUAACUGCAAGACAUACAAGUCAAGCAGAGACGAAAGUCGGUCUUAGUGAUCCGGUGGUUCUGUGUGGAAGGGCCAUCGCUCAAAGGAUAAAAGGUACCCCGGGGAUAACAGGCUGAUCUCCCCCAAGAGCUCACAUCGACGGGGAGGUUUGGCACCUCGAUGUCGGCUCAUCGCAUCCUGGGGCUGGAGCAGGUCCCAAGGGUAUGGCUGUUCGCCAUUUAAAGCGGUACGCGAGCUGGGUUCAGAACGUCGUGAGACAGUUCGGUCCCUAUCUGCCGUGGGCGUAAGAAGAUUGAAGAGAUUUGACCCUAGUACGAGAGGACCGGGUUGAACAAACCACUGGUGUAGCUGUUGUUCUGCCAAGAGCAUCGCAGCGUAGCUAAGUUUGGAAAGGAUAAACGCUGAAAGCAUCUAAGCGUGAAGCCAACUCUAAGAUGAAUCUUCUCUAAGCUCUCUAGAAGACUACUAGUUUGAUAGGCUGGGUGUGUAAUGGAUGAAAGUCCUUUAGCUGACCAGUACUAAUAGAGCGUUUGGCUUAUCUUUAAUAAAGCAU
rnacentral:rRNA from 1 species